UGGUGAUGGUGAUGGUGAUGAUGACGACGAUGAUGAUGAUUAUGACUGCAAAAGCAGUAAUAAUGAAGAUAGCAAUGAGUCUGGCAAAUCUGGUGAGGAAAAGGACAUUCUUAGUGACAGGAACUGUUCUCAGAAGCCUGCUGGGACACGAUGGAGUAAAAGGCUGGCUGGAGUUAUGAACCAUCCUGUUAUGGAAACGAGCAACUUGGCUACAAAGAAUAGGUUGAGGCAAAGACUGACUCAUAACUCUGCUGUCGAUCCUAUUGUGCUUGAUUCAGAGGAUGAAAACUUCUCAGAAAACACAAAUGGUUAGAUGUCUAGACGUGAAGUUGUUACCAGUAGCUAAUUCAGAAGAAUCCAGUGAUGGUUAACUUAUAAACAGAAUCAAAUAUGCUCAAAGUGAUUGUCCUUGAGUAUUUUGUUAUAGCAAGGAAAUUUUUGGUGCACAUAUAUGGAAAUAUGGAAUAUGUUAUUAUAUAAUCUAUACCAUAGUUGAACCUAAUUUUGUCUAAAUUUCUUGAAAGGUCUAUAGAAAGUUAGUAUUUUAUGGUAGGAAUGAAAUUGUCUUGCGGCCAAGAAUAGCUCUUCUCUGUACAUGAUUAGCUGAUUUGCUGAUCGUCCGGCAAUUGACAUAAAUAUAUAGACAAGAACAAGGGAUGGCAUUCAGUUUCUUUGCGUAUGGUUUUAUAAGAGUGAUGGAAUGUUGAGCUAAUUCUGCAUGGUUGUCGUUAGAAUGAGCAACACAUCGGGUAUUCUACCAUAUAAUCGGCGAAGAUGGUUAGAUGAGGCAUUGAAACAGUGCAGUGCCUGGAUUGUGCCUUCCUAUCCCAGCCGGCGCACUUGGGAGAAAAGAUUACAACCAGUUGGUUUAUCUUAACUUAAAAUUCUAUAAUACUGUAUUUCUAUUUUAUUUUAACUUAAGAGACAAAAAAUAUUGUGAUACUAAUAAUAUUUCAG
rnacentral:misc_RNA from 1 species